rnacentral:lncRNA from 1 species
GGAUUAUACUUUUUUGUAAAAAAUGUCUUAUGGGAUAUGUUCGUCAUUUUUAGAGGGUGAUGAUUAAUCAGACUUUUAUUUUCUGCAUUUGUACUUUUGUAGAUAUUUUUGUUUGUUUACCAUUUUCUAGCAAUAUUUGACGACGAAAAUAGAUGACAGAAUAGACGAAAAUAGACCCAUCAAUCUUGUCCCUUAUCCUAGUGGAUAAUUUCAACCAAUUAGCGCAAAACACGUAAACAACACAACUGAGUGUAUAACUAACGC